rnacentral:rRNA from 1 species
AUGUGGUCACUUCUAAUUCGGAAAUCUUGUGAUCUUGGAACUUGCUUUGCUGACUUGGAGAAGCAGCAGAUUCAACUGAACCUUGACUUGGAGCUGGCCAGGACAGAGCUGCAAAAGGUCAGAGACGGCGCUGUAGAAAAACUGAGAGAAGCUCUGGCGAAGAAGGAUCAGGAUUUGGCCACUGCUCGUAAGGAGGCUGACGACAAGACCGCUCUGGCCGAACAGAAGCUGGCUUCAGUCGGCCAGUUGGAAGAAGAGAAUACCAGGCUGAAGACCGCUCUGAUUGACUCCAACAAGGAGUGCUCGUGCUGGAAGAAGGCGAAUCUCGUCCACGGUGAGAAAAUGGAAGGCAUUGCUCGCAGGAGGGAUGAUCUGGAGAGUUAUCUGAGAAGUCUUGCCAAGAAGCUGUUCAUCAAGCUUGAAGGUGCACAUUCUGUUCUGACUGACUUUUUUUUGAGUCGACUCAGUGUACGAAAAUUGACUUAUCCUUGGAUCGUGAAUGCAGAGUUUUGCCAGAACUUUGAAGAGGAGACUGGGCGGAUCGAGCCUGGUUUGGAUCCAAUCAACUCUCCCGUGAAAGAUGAAACUGCCAUGAAUCUGCUCCGUCUGGAAUCUCGCAUCGACAGUGCCGUGGACUACUUGGCUCGACUGAAGGUCACCAUGUCGUGGAUUGACCCGGCACUUUGGCCAGAGGCUGAGCUCCAAAAUGAUAUUGAGUCCCUGAUGACUCGACUAAAUGAAAUCCCCGACCGAGUGCAGGAGUGGAAGAAGUCUGCUGCUCGGUGUGGCGCUGACGUGGCUCUGUCUUUGGUUCGUGUCCACUGCAAGGAGGUGCGACAGGACAAACUGGCAGCAAUCAAGGUCGCCAACACCCAGAAGCAUGACUUCCGAACCUUUAUGGAGACUUUCAUCGCUGCAGCCACUCGGAUAGCCGAUGGCGUCGACCUGGAUGAGUUCGUCGAGCCUGCCAGCCCUCCUCCCGCGGAGUGA